AUACGUAGGGGGCGAGCGUUGUCCGGAAUGAUUGGGCGUAAAGGGCGCGUAGGCGGCUUUGCAAGUCAGUAGUGGAAGUCCAUUUUUCAAGGAUGGAAGUGCUACAGAAACUGCGGAGCUUGAGUGCAGGAGAGGUUAUCGGAAUUCCCGGUGUAGCGGUGAAAUGCGUAGAGAUCGGGAGGAACACCAGUGGCGAAGGCGGGUAACUGGACUGCAACUGACGCUGAGGCGCGAAAGUGUGGGGAGCAAACAGGAUUAGACACCCUGGUAGUCCACACUGUAAACGAUGAAUGCUAGGUGUAGGAGGUAUCGACCCCUUCUGUGCCGCAGUAAACACAGUAAGCAUUCCGCCUGGGGAGUACGGUCGCAAGAUUAAAACUCAAAGGAAUUGACGGUG
rnacentral:rRNA from 1 species